AUGACAUAAUCGAAUUCCAGUGGACAUUAUUUUGUGAGAGAUGGGCACUGGCACUAGCACACAGAGUUGGCAUGAUCCAUCGGGAGACACGUCCUGGGAGCCCCACAGCUUCUGACACAGGUGGUAGUCUUCUCCACAGGUGGCCGAGCUAUCCUUGGUGUGGACUCACGAUGGAAACCUUGGAAGUGUCUCCUUGGUGAAUCACUGGAAUUCUUAUAACCACUGACUCUCCGGGUUCUUUGGGUUCAGUGACGUUAAAUUUGGUUUCUCCAAAUUUAAUAAGUCUCUAAAAUUGUGGAAAACACAGACAAAUGAAAUUGCUAGUAAGGGGAAUGCUUUUCCUCCUUUUCUAUGUUUGUUUCCAUGUGGGAGGGGCUUAAUAACUAUUACACUCCUGGCUUCUGUCUCCUCCCUCAAAAUUAGGGUAUGUGUGGAAGGAAAAGCUGGCAUGUGUUGCCCAGCUCCUUCCUGGGACUUAACCAGCCCCCAGAGAGCAUGUGCUCCCAGCUGUCCCUAUGUGCCAUAAAGUACAUGUGAACAGGCCAUGAAGGUGGGUGGGGAGGGAGGAAACUGUUGGUACCCCUAUACCCAAGGGUGUGUAUAGAGGAGAGGGCAGGUAUGGAUGUUUGGGAUUCAGUGUUCAGAUAUAAGCCAUAUUCUCCAACAUCAGCUUUAUCAGUUUUAAUGGUUUAUUCUGUUUCCCAUUUGCUUUGUCUUUUUCGUAUUUCUCAAUUGCUUAAAAACCCUAGUCAGAAAGCAGGGGAGGGGUGGCGGGUUUCUGAACCCCUUAAAACCUGGAUUUGGAUGGAUUUCACUUCCCAACUUACAGCUGAAGCACAAAAAAUGACUUCUUACUAUCAGCAUCAUCUUGGAUCCUUGAGAGUUUCUUUUUGUUCACCAACUGCAGCCCCAAAGGGAGAGUUGCUUUGUGGAGUGUCGAGUACCAGGCGGAGCUCCUCUACUGCCUCAUAGAGCACAUCGUCCAUGAGCUCAAGGAUGCAGGGGUUUUCAGUCUCACCUGGAAGAAUAACGUCAGCAGUUUUAAUAAUUGAAUAAGGAGGAGCAGCGAGGACGGCGUGGGCUGUGGAGCCGAGCACAAUGACAGCGCCUUCCUGGAGCCUGGGUACGACGUCUGCCUGGAAGAUCUUGGCGAUCUCCACAGAGCUGCCUGGAGGGGCAUAGUCCCCAGAGUGGAGCUCAUUCUCAUGCUCAGGGACCCUGGCUUGGACAAGAGAGACAAGAAGAAGAGGUCCCGCAGCACCUGGGAUGUGGAAUCCCUGGAGGAGUCACAGGGCCCAGGCCGCUUCAUGAGCCCCCAAAACGAAAACCACACGCAGCCGUGAUUUCCCUAUUUCUCCUGAUUUCCCUCUUUCUCCUGAUUCCAACUGCAUCUUUAUAUCUAAAAAUUUUUGGCUUACCACACGGGGAGCUAAAAAAGCAACUCUUACCUGAUAUGUACUCAGAGGUGCUCUGGGUUUUAAACUGUCCAUCACACAAGCCAAACCAGGCUCCACAAAACAGGAACAAGGAACCUAAGUAGUUCCAUUGUUUUGUGCUCAAAAACAUGGGGUGCUGUAUCCCGAGUUCUGAAGCAACUGAAAUCUAUGUUGUCACUUGCAAUACUAGUGAGAGGAUGACUGGAGUAAGCUAUUUUGUUCUGCAGCAGAAGACUCUUGUGAUCAAACUGAUACCUUAGGUAAACUGUUGGAGUUAUUUUCAAACCUUCAUAAAAGCAUGGCCAGUUAAGGUUGUGUCCAGAUUCAAAUAGAGUUUGUACCAGGUCAAAAAGAGUCUCGUACUCUUUAUUUGGUUGUAGAGAAGAGAAAAUUAAGUUUCUUUACCUAUGACUUCUCUCAUGUUUCUCUGGAGGGCUCUCUUAGAGACUAUUUCAACAAAUAUGACAUUUUCCCUUCCUUUGGCUGCGGUUGUGAGAGCCUGGAUGAAACCAACUGGCUCUGGAAUGUUCCUGUAUCAAUAUUUGCCAGUAGUCAAAUCUUCACAAGCUGUUUUUCCUGUUGUUAUUGAAAUCAGCUCCAUUUCUGGCUCCAUCCUCCCCAAAUUCCCAAUGCUCUCUUUAAUGUCUUUGCACACUGGAUCCAUCAUAUAAUUGUGAUUAGCAGCUGGAACUGACAGAAUAUAUGAAAAUAUCCUGCUUUUCUCAAACUGCUGAGCCACCUUUCAUGACACUUGGCUGUAGCUUCUGCCUCUCCUGACAGGAUAUAGGAGCAAGGACUGUUAAAGGCUGCCAUGCACAUUCUUCUGGAGAAGGACACUACAGCCUUCGAGAUUUCUGUUCUCGGAAUCUAUAAAGGCUCUAAAAAAUGAAGUAUAUAUCUUUUAAAAAUAAAAAAUAAAUAAAUCAUAACUGCAUACAAUUAGAUCUAGUACAUACUGCACUAUUGUAAUGAUCUCAUAGCCACCUCCUGUUGCUAUUGCAGUGAACUCAAGUGUUGCAGGUAUCCACUUAAAACGCCAAAUGAUGCUCAUCAUCUCCACAGAUGCAGUUCGUCUUGCCAGCAAAUCAUGUUUCAUAGUGAAAGUGACCUCUUGUGGUACUCAUGUAGUUUUCUUUUUAAAAUUAUUUGUAUGAGGCAUAGUAGGUAUAUAUUUAUAAAAUACAUGAGAUAUUUUGACAGAGGCAUACAAUCAAUGCAUAAUAAUUAUAUCAGGGUAAAUGGGUAUUCAUCACCUCAAACAUUUAUCAUUUCUUUGAGUUACAAACAUUCCGAUUACACUGUUUUAUUUUUAAAUGUACAAUAAAAUAUUGUUGACUGUAGUCACACUGUUCUGCUAUCAAGUAGUAGAUCUUAUUCAUUUUAUCUAACGAUAUAUUUUUUACCCAUUAACCAUCCUCACUUAUCCCCAACCCCCAUUACCCUUCCCAACCUCUGGUAACCUUCAUUCAAUUCUCUAUGUUCAUGAGUUUCAUUGUUUUAAUUUUUAGCUCCCACAAAUGAAUGAGAAGUCUUUCUGUGCCUGGCUUAUUUCCCUUGACAUAAUGACCUCUAGUUCCUUCAAUGUUGUUGCAAAUGACAGUAUCUCAUUCUUUUCUAUGGUUGAAUAGUGCUCCAUUGUGGGGGUGUGUGUGUGUAUAUAUAUGUGUGUGUGUAUAUCUCACAUCUUCUUUAUCUGUUUGCCUGUUGAUGGUCACAUAGCUUGCUUCCAAAUAUUGGUUAUUGUGAAUAGUGCCGCAGUAAACUUGGAAGUACCAAUCUCUCUUGGACAUACUGAUUUCCAUUCCUUUGGAUAAAUACCCAAAUGCUCUCUUUAACAUCUUUCCACACUAGAUCCAUCAUAUAAUUGUGCAUAAUAGCAGCUGGAACUGACAGGAUAUAGAGAAAUAUGCUGCUUUUCUCAAACUGCUCAGCCACCUCUUCAUGAUACUUGGCUAUAGCAUCUGCCUCUCCUGAUGGGGUACAGGAGCAAAGACUGUUAAAGGGGGAUUGCUGGAUCAUACGGCAGUUCUUUUUUAGUUUUCUGAGGAAGCUCCAUGCUGUUCUCCAUAGUGGUUGUACUUAUUUACAUUCCCAACAACAGUGUAUGAGGGUUCCCUUUUCUCUAUAUCCUUGCCAGCAUUUGUUGUUGCUUGUCUUUUGUAUCAAAGCGCUUUCUAGUGGGGUGAGAUGUUAUCUCAUUGUAGUUUUGAUUUGCAUUUCCUUCAUGAUCAAUGAUGUUGAGCACCUUUCUAUAUACCUAUUUGCCAUUUGUGUGCCACUGUGUGCCUGUUUGCCAUUUCUUCUUUUGAGAAAUGUCUAUUGAGAUAUUUUGCCCAUUUUAAAAUCAGAUUAUUAGAUUUUUUUUCCUAUUGAGUGGUUUGAUCUCCUUAUAUAUUCUGGUUAUUAAUCUCUUGUCAGAUGGAUAGUUUGCAAAUAUUUUCUCCCAUUCUGUGGGUUAUCUCCUCACUUUGUUGAUUGUCUCCUUUGCUGUGUAGAAGCUUUGGAGUUUGACAUGAUUCUAUUUGUCUAUUUUUGCUCUGGUUUGUGCUUCAGGGGUAUUACUCAAUAAAUCUUUGCCCAGACCAAUGUUCUGAAGUUUCCCAAAUGUUCUCUUUCAGUAGAUUCAUAGUUUGACAUCUUAGAUUUAGGUCUUUAAUGCAUUUGAUUUUUUGUGUGUGAUGAGAGACAGGGGUCUAGUUUCAUUCUUCUAAAUAUGGAUAUCCAAUUUUCACAGCACCAUUAAUUGAAGACACUGUCUUUUCACCAAUGCAUGUUCUUGGUAUUUUUGUUGAAGUGAGUUCCCUGUAGAGGUAUGCAUUUAUUUCUGUCCUCUCUAUUCUGUUGCACUGGUCCAUGUGUCUUUUUUUUAUGCCAGUUACCAUGCUGCUUUGGUUACCAUAGCUCUGUAGUAUAAUUUUAAGUCAGGUUAUGUAAUUCCUUCAGUUUUAUUCUGCUCAGAAUGGCUUUGGCUAUUCUGGGUGUUUUCUGAUUCCAUCAGAAAGUUUUAGGAUUAUUGUUUCUAUUUCUGUGAAGAAUAUCACUGGUAUGUUGAUAGGGACUUCAUUGAUUCUGUAGAUUGCUUUGCAUAGGAUGGACAUUUUAACGAUAUGGAUUCUUCCAAUCCAUGAAAAUGGAAUAUUUUUUUCAAUUUUGUCUCCUCUUCCAUUUCUUGAAUCAAUGUUUUAUAGUUCUUACUGUAGAGGUCUUUCACUUCUUAGGUGAAGUGUAUUCCUACAUAUCUUAUUUUGUUUGAGCUAUUGUAAAUGGCAUUAGUUUCUGAUUUCUUUUUCAGAUUGUUCAAUGUUGGUAUAUACAAGGGCUACUGAUUUUGUAUGUUUAUUUUUUAUCCUGCAACUUUACUGAAUUUGUUUAUCAGUUCUUAGGGAGAGUCUUUAGGUUUCCCAAAUAUAAGAUUAUAUCAUCUUCAAACAAGGGUAAUUUUACUUUUUCCUUUCCAAAUAGAUCCCCUUUGUUUCUUUCUCUUGUCUCAAUGCUCUAGCUAGGACUUCUUGUUUUUUUCAUCAUGUUUAAUUUAAUAGUGUAAAUCAUAGAACCCAAAGAAAGUACCACUAGUGAUGCAUAAAGUGCUUCCAAGAAGCAGAGAAAUAACAUAACAAUAUAAGAAAAAGCUGAUUUGCUUGAUAUGUACCACGGUUUGAGGUCUGUAGCUUUGUCUGCAUUUUUAGAAAGAUGAUUCAUCUCAGAAACACAUGAAGUAAACUUAUGGUAUUGAUAAAUUCAGUACAGUACUGUAAAUAUACUUUAUCUUCCUUAUAAUUUUCUUAACAUUUCCUUUUCUCUAGCUUACUUUUGUACAAAUAUGGUA
ensembl:lncRNA novel transcript